rnacentral:lncRNA from 11 species
GGAACAGGCAGAAGGUCUGCAAAUUGUUCAACCCUAUACCUAAGAAGAUUACUUGUAUUAUAGCUAAAUGGGGCCUUUCGACUGGUUCAUAUGGAUCCAGAAAACAGAAUGAUGAAUUAC